CGUAUGCAAAAAUGAUAGCAAGGUUUACUACCGAGACUCCCGUCUGAUGGGGAACUUUCAUGUUUGGCGAUCACUUUUUGGAUUUUCUUCUGUCUCAGCGAUGGCUGCAAUUGCUUUAAAUGUCAGAUCAAAUUCCUUAGCUUCACAAAUUAUUCCGACUAUUAGCUCGAUGUUGUGGGCAAGCAACAGAUUGUUCAUCAUAUCAUGAGCUUCUUCAUCCCGAAGAACGAUUCUUUAAGCUUCAAUCAAAUACUCAAUAGGAGAGGGACUCGGGGUUUGGCCAGUUCAGGGCCACUAGCUGUAAUAAGUCUAGCCUGAUUAACUUUGGGACAAGCUUGAAUACGAUUCACCAAUAGGGGUGAACUUAAUCUUUCUGAAAGGCUCUUUUGGGCGAGGAUUGUAUUGAGGAUCAUUUGGUUGGGGAUUAUAUGGAGCUUGGUAAUGAUGGGAAUUUUUGAGAGGUGAAGCUCGAUUUUGUGUAUAAUGUUGUGGCCGCGGGUAAGGUUGCAUAUUCAUCACUGCAUAUGGAGGUUGUGCCACGGCAUAAGCAGCAUCUUGAAAGGGAUAAUAGUGUGGUUAGACAAUAGGAAGCACAUAUGAUUGGGUGAAUGACCUACACCUCCCCUUGAACUUGAGACCAUCAUGACUCCCUCUUCACUCCCAUUUCUGUUUAUCAAAAUCUCCGAACCAUUUUUAAAAGAUUGUGAUAUGGAGUUAAAAGCAGCAUGACUCAAGAUUCGACCUGUUUUAAACCGUUCCAACCAUUUUCCUGAUUUUGAUAUCCUCAGCAAAUGUCUUGCCCACAACAGACAUCAUGUUCUAGAAGUAGUCAGGCUCUUGGGCUUGUAGAAAGACAGUGACCAUUUCAAUUUCAUGCAUUGGAGGAUUUACCCUAGAAUCUUGCUCACGACAUUUGACAGCAUAUUCGUAGAAGCUUUCCGUGGCUUUCUUUUUAAAAUUGGACAAAGUGUUCCUAUCAGGAGCGAUGUCCAUAUUUAUACUGGAAUUAGCGGAUAAAAUCUCGGGCCAUAUCAUCCCACACGUGCCAAUGAGCAAUUUCUUGAUCCGUAUACCGCUCAGAAGCGAUUCCGGCGAGGCUUUCCCCAAUAUAGGCCAUUAGCAGCUCCUCUUUUCCACCAGCACCCCUCAACUGGUUACAAUAUCGUUUUAGAUGAGAGACCGGGUCUCCAUGCCUGCCUUUUCAAAUUUUAGCAUCUUGAAGCCAACUGGAAAGUGGACAUGGGGAAACAUAUAGAGGUCAGAGUAUGAGACACGCUUUUGGCCACUCAGACUUUGCAUGUUUUUCAAGCUUU
rnacentral:lncRNA from 1 species